CACCUCACUCAGUUUUUCUACGUUUUUUAAAGUCCCGUUUCGGGGUUUCUAUCUGCACGAACCGAGAAAUAUGGGCAACGGUAAAAUUCUCAAUAUGGCCUCUCUAAAAUGUCAGCUGUUCAAAUGUAAACACGAGUUGGCGACCAAUUCAAAAAUCAGCACGCGGAUUUUAAAAUGGAAAAUUUUCUUAAAUUGCAAGAUUUUUAUGUGGAUUUUGACGAAUUGGUUGAAAAAUUAACCGAGUAUAGGCCAUUGCCACUAUUAAAGAAAUCGCCAUCAGUUUGGGCCUAUGAACGGCAUGGGUGUUUUUGGGAGCGCGAUGUUCUUGGAAGCAGCGAAUCGUUUUUUAUAGAACAUUUCCGAAUGAAUAGGGAGGAGUUUGGCAUCCUUGUAGAGCGCCUUUGUGGAUUGGCCAAAAAAGACACAGAAUUUCGAAGGGCCAUUCCUCUUGAUAAGCGGAUUGCAAUCGCAUUAUACACUUUGGGAUCGUCUGCGGAGUAUCGGACAGUGGGCACGUUGUUUGGUGUGUCUACAGCAAUGGUCUGCAAAAUAUUCUUAGAAUUUUGCCAUGAGACAUGUAGAGUUCUGUCAACCGACUACCUCCCGCAUAACUUCCUCACGCAAUCCAAAUUGGAGGAAUGUGUCAAAGGCUUCGAAGAAUUAGGCAGUGCUUAGGCGCGAUUGAUGGCUGUCAUAUUGAAAUUCAUCCAUGUGCAGCUGAUGCAGCUGACUAUUUCAAUUACAAAGGCUGGUACUCAACUAUAUUGUUUGCAAUGGUUGAUGCUCGACACAGAUUUCUUUAUAUAAACGUUGGAGGCCCAGGACGCUGUCAUGACUCCCAAAUUUUUGAGCGAAGUAGGCUACGUCAAUUAUUAGAUGAGUCGACACUAUUAAAGAAUAACUCGCGCAAUAUUUCGGGAGUUGAUGUGCCUGUUGUGGUGAUUGGUGAUUCGGCUUUUAAAUUUUCCACUCAAGUGAUGAAGCCAUAUGCUUUUUCAAAUACUGAAAAUGAAUCUUUGAAGGCUUUUAAUUAUACUUUGGCCAAAUCACGCAGGGUGGUCGAAAAUGCUUUCGGCCAUUUAAAAGCACGAUUUCGGCGAGUUGGAAAAGGCCUCG